AGAGUUUGAUCAUGGCUCAGAUUGAACGCUGGCGGCAUGCCUUACACAUGCAAGUCGAACAGCAGCGCGGGCUUCGGCCUGGCGGCGAGUGGCGAACGGGUGAGUAAUAUAUCGGAACGUGCCCAAGAGUGGGGGAUAACUAGUCGAAAGAUUAGCUAAUACCGCAUACGAUCUACGGAUGAAAGUGGGGGAUCGCAAGACCUCAUGCUCCUGGAGCGGCCGAUAUCUGAUUAGCUAGUUGGUGGGGUAAAAGCCUACCAAGGCGACGAUCAGUAGCUGGUCUGAGAGGACGACCAGCCACACUGGGACUGAGACACGGCCCAGACUCCUACGGGAGGCAGCAGUGGGGAAUUUUGGACAAUGGGGGCAACCCUGAUCCAGCAAUGCCGCGUGUGUGAAGAAGGCCUCCGGGUUGUAAAGCACUUUUGUCAGGGAAGAAACGGUGGGGGCUAAUAUCCCUUGCUAAUGACGGUACCUGAAGAAUAAGCACCGGCUAACUACGUGCCAGCAGCCGCGGUAAUACGUAGGGUGCAAGCGUUAAUCGGAAUUACUGGGCGUAAAGCGUGCGCAGGCGGUUGUGUAAGUCAGAUGUGAAAUCCCCGGGCUCAACCUGGGAAUUGCAUUUGAGACUGCACG
rnacentral:rRNA from 1 species